rnacentral:rRNA from 1 species
AUUGAACGCUGGCGGCAUGCUUUACACAUGCAAGUCGGACGGCAGCGGGGGUGCUUGCACCUGCCGGCGAGUGGCGAACGGGUGAGUAACAUAUUGGAAUGUACCGAGUAGUGGGGGAUAACCAAUCGAAAGAUUGGCUAAUACCGCAUACGUCCUGAGGGGGAAAGCAGGGGAUCUUCGGACCUUGCGCUAUUUGAGCAGCCAAUAUCUGAUUAGCUAGUUGGUGGGGUAAAGGCCCACCAAGGCGACGAUCAGUAGCGGGUCUGAGAGGAUGAUCCGCCACACUGGGACUGAGACACGGCCCAGACUCCUACGGGAGGCAGCAGUGGGGAAUUUUGGACAAUGGGGGCAACCCUGAUCCAGCCAUGCCGCGUGUCUGAAGAAGGCCUUCGGGUUGUAAAGGACUUUUGUUAGGGAAGAAAAGGGAAGUGCUAAUACCACUUUUUGCUGACGGUACCUAAAGAAUAAGCACCGGCUAACUACGUGCCAGCAGCCGCGGUAAUACGUAGGGUGCGAGCGUUAAUCGGAAUUACUGGGCGUAAAGCGAGCGCAGACGGUUACUUAAGCAGGAUGUGAAAUCCCCGGGCUCAACCUGGGAACUGCGUUCUGAACUGGGUAGCUAGAGUAUGUCAGAGGGGGGUAGAAUUCCACGUGUAGCAGUGAAAUGCGUAGAGAUGUGGAGGAAUACCGAUGGCGAAGGCAGCCCCCUGGGAUAAUACUGACGUUCAUGCUCGAAAGCGUGGUAGCAACAGG